rnacentral:rRNA from 1 species
UACAGAGACUGCAAGCGUUAUUCGGAUUCACUGGGCGUAAAGGGUGCGCAGGCGGCCGUGUGUGUGAGGCGUGAAAGCCCGGGGCUCAACCCCGGAAUUGCACCUCAAACUACAUGGCUAGAGCAUUGGAGAGGGUAGCAGAAUUCAUGGUGUAGCAGUGAAAUGCGUAGAUAUCAUGAGGAAUACCAGAGGCGAAGGCGGCUACCUGGACAAUUGCUGACGCUCAGGCACGAAAGCGUGGGGAGCAAAAGGG